GCCCGUGUGGCCUAAUGGCUAAGGCGUCUGACUGUUAGUAAACCCCGCUUGGUAGUGAAUCCAAUACUGACCACUCUGCAGUCUAUAAAGAAGACCAAUCAGAAGAUUGCGAGUUCGAUCCUCGCCAUGGGCU